UACGGAGGGUGCAAGCGUUAUCCGGAUUCACUGGGUUUAAAGGGUGCGUAGGAGGGCAGGGAAGUCAGUGGUGAAAUCUCCGGGCUUAACUCGGAAACUGCCGUUGAUACUCUCUGUCUUGAAUACCGUGGAGGUGAGCGGAAUAUGUCAUGUAGCGGUGAAAUGCUUAGAUAUGACAUAGAACACCAAUUGCGAAGGCAGCUCACUACACGAAUAUUGACUCUGAGGCACGAAAGCGUGGGGAUCAAACAGGA
rnacentral:rRNA from 1 species